AUUGAACGCUGGCGGCAGGCCUAACACAUGCAAGUCGAGCGGAGCGGCGGACGGGUGAGUAAUGAAUAGGAAUCUGCCUGGUAGUGGGGGAUAACGUCCGGAAACGGGCGCUAAUACCGCAUACUAUCAGAUGAGCCUAGGUCGGAUUAGCUAGUUGGUGGGGUAAAGGCCUACCAAGGCGACGAUCCGUAACUGGUUUGAGAGGACGAUCAGGCACACUGGAACGUAGACACGGGCCAGAAUCCGACGGGAGGCAGGAGUGGGGAAUAUUGGACAAUGGGGGAAACCCUGAUCCAGCCAUGCCGCGUGGGUGAAGAAGGUCUUCGGAUUGGAAAGCAAUUUUAGUUGGGAGGCGUUACCAACAGAAUAAGCACCGGCUAACUUCGUGCCAGCAGCCGCGGUAAUAC
rnacentral:rRNA from 1 species